rnacentral:rRNA from 1 species
CGGUAUUAUCACUAUAGUUGUUCUUCCCUAAAGACAGAGCUUUACGACCCAAGGCCUUCUUCACUCACGCGGCGUUGCUCCGUCAGGCUUUCGCCCAUUGCGGAAGAUUCCCCCA